GUUCUCUGUUAUAAUAAGCACAGUAUCCCUAAGCUCCUGUCCCUAGCUUGCAUCAGCAGCUCAGGGUUACAUCAUGGCCAGUGUAAAGGUUGCAGUAGUCACAGGGGGCAAUAAGGGGAUUGGGCUGGCUGUAGUCAAAGCCUUAUGCAAGCAGUUCAGGGGGGAUGUUUAUCUCACAGCCAGGAACCCCAAACUGGGGGAGGAAUCUGUGAGGGCCCUGGAGAAGGAAGGAUUGUCCCCCCUCUUCCACCAGUUGGACAUCACUGACAUACCCAGCAUCCAGGCUCUCAGGGAUUUCCUAAAGGACAAGUAUGGGGGCAUUGAUGUACUCAUCAACAACGCUGGCAUUGCUUUUAAAGGUGGGUAUGGCUGCCCUGACUGCCCCUGGGGUAACAGGAAUGAAUGUACUGUGCACACACUGCUGUCAGGUAGUAAAGAAACUACUCUACUGGGGACAGAAGAAAGUUCAGUUCUCAAAUGGUUAAUGCCAAUAAAAGGACAAAGAGCAUAUCUGGGGGGGAGCUAUAAUUCCCAUGAUGCUUUGCAUGUUUUUAGAAUGGCAAAGCAUCAUGGAAGCUGUAGUUUUAAAACAUCUGGGGAUCUACCUUUUGGGCACCCCUGCUGUAAAGUAUAGAAUAUUUGGUCACUCUAAGCGUCACACCUACUUAAUGAAGUUCAGUAGUUUGUUGUAGGUGGUUUUGUGCAUAGAUGUUGGCCCAUUUAAACAUGCAGUGUUAAAGCCGCACUAUCACUGUUUGUGGACUUUGUCGAAUUUGUAAAGCCCGUCAAUGGUGAUAUCGCCGCUGGGGUCUGGUCAUUGCUGCACUCUAGUACAUGCGCAAGAGUACAGCAUUGAGGUCUAUGGGGAAGACCGCGGGAUCCUCCAUAAACACAGCCAAUUCCCUACAGCCGUCAUGGAUGAUGGCUGCAGGGAUUGACAUUUAGGUUCUACCUUCUGCUUGAUACAUGGCCAGGGAGGGGGGCUCUCAUUCCUUGGUGGUCCAGUGGCAUGGGCUGUGUAGGAGGGGGGCUGGCAGCAAGCUGUAACUUACCUUUCCUGCAGAGAAGAAAUACAGAGACAGAGUAGUCCCUAGAAGGGAAGCAGCUAAAACAUUUUCGAGGGGGGAGGAAUACUAUUACAGUAAAAUAAAUAUAUUUAUAUUUAAUGUUAACAUUUUCCUUUUAAAAAAUGUAAUACUUUUCUAGAAAAUUAUAUGAGAUACUGUUAUUAUGAAUGACAAUUGUUAUAUUACCAUAGGUGACAAUAUUAAAAUGUGCACGUAACAAACAUUUUGGUGUUAGUAGGAUUGGCAUCUCACGUGGCAGUUAAUGCCAAGCAAAAAUAGAAAAUCAGUAUUGUCACUUUUCAUUACUAAAUCAGGGGUAGGUGACCUUCAGCACUCCAGAUGUUGUGGACUACAUCUCCCUUGAUGCUCUGCCUGAAUCGUUGCUUUAAGAGCAUCAUGGGUGUUUCAGUAUCUGAAAGGCUGAGGGUUGCCCACCCCUGCCCUAAGUAAUAUAACCACCACACCCUGCUGUGUCCUGGCACCAUCUCCAGUUAGUGUCAAGCUGCUUAGGAACUGUUUAAUAUAAGCAAUGUAUGUCCCAGAGAGACACAUUGAUAAGAUAAUACAUAACUCACAAUAUUUCAAAUAGACAAAGAGGGGCGCUUUCAUUUUAGGCCAAAGUCGGGGCUAUUGUGAGAAGUUUUAGGUGACUUACUAAUAACAAUUUAUAUAAUUACGAUGUAAUAUAGAACAAGAACUGAUUUUUUUUAUCGACAGACCAAUUUCUAAACACAUUUAUUGUAGUUUAAAGACACAUUACUGGGAGUAUUAUUACCGUGGAGCUCUGUUAUACACUCACACACAUUACUGGGAGUAUUAUUGCCAUGGAUCUCUGUUAUACACUCAGACACAUUACUGGGAGUAUUAUUGCUGUGGAUCUCUGUUAUACACUCAGACACAUUACUGGGAGUAUUAUUGCUGUGGGGCUCUCUAAUACACGCAGACACAUUACUGGGAGUAUUAUUGCCGUGGAUCUCUCUAAUACACGCAGACACAUUACUGAGAGUAUUAUUGCUGUGGAGCUCCGUUAUACACUCAGACACAUAACUGGGAGUAUUAUUGAUGUGGAGCUCUGUGAUACAGUCAGAUACAUUACUGGGAGUAUUAUUGCUGUGGAACUCUGUUAUACAUUCAGACACAUUACUGGGAGUAUUAUUGCUGUGAGGCUCUGUUAUACACUCAGACACAUUACUGGGAGUAUUAUUGCCCUGGAGCUCUGUUAUACACUCAGACACAUUACUGGGAAUAUUAUUGCCGUGGAGCUCUGUUAUACACUCAGACACAUUACUGGGAGUAUUAUUGCUGUGGGGCUCUGUUAUACACUCAGACACAUUACUGGGAGGAAUAUUGCUGUGGGGCUCUGUUAUAAACUCAGACACAUUACUGGGAGUAUUAUUGCCGUUGAGCUCUGUUAUACACUCAGACACAUUACUGGGAGUAUUACUGCUUUGAAGCUCUGUUACACACUCAGACACAUUACUGGGAGUAUUAUUGCUGUGGAGCUCUGUUAUACACUCAGACACAUUACAGGGAGUAUUAUUGCUGUGGAGCUCUGUUAUACACUCAGACACAUUACAGGGAGUAUUAUUGCUGUGGAGCUCUGUUAUACACUCAGACACAUUACAGGGAGUAUUAUUGCUGUGGUGCUCUGUUAUACACCCAGACACAUUGCUGUGAGUAUUAUUGCUGUGGAGCUUUGUUAUACACCCAGACACACCAGCAACACAGAGCUCCUAGAAAAGAUGCACAUUAAAUGCAUUUUCUCUGAAAAGACAGUGUUUACAGCAAAAAGCCUGACGGUAAUGAUUCUACUCACCAGAACAAAUUCAAUAAGCUGUAGCUGUUCUGGUGACUAUAGUGUCCCUUUAACAGUUUGAGUGACUGUGGAAAGGAUGCCCAUUUAUAACAGUAAUUGCUGCCUUAAGAAGCAGGCUGGUUGCCCUGGUCCCUUUAACAAUUUUUCAUAAAUUUUCACAUUUCACUGCCAAUUCACCUCUAUUCUGUAGUGUGAAGUGUUUAGCAGUAAGCCUGGUCAGUAUGCAGGCAGUCAGACUUCAUUCUGAAUAUCAAGGUAACUACUGGCAAUUUCCUACCCAAUAAUUUUGCUUAUGGCCACUUUCAGAAUUUAAAGCAGCACUGUCACUGUCUGGGGACUUUGCCACUGGGGGUCCAGUGGCUGAAAGGGGGCAGGUAAAGGUCAGAUUAAAUUACGUAGAGCUAUCCUUCGCGGGCGUGGCCAUCUUGAUCCAGCAGGUCUUCUCCAGUUAAUGGCACUUCAGUGCCAACUGGUGUACUUUACUCUAAUUCCACCACUCCUCCUGCAGGCCCCCAGCAGCUUGUAUAGUAAAAUGGGGGCAAAGCACACGCGAUCUUCAGCUUCUAGAAGCUCUUUCCAACUCUCUCGAGCCACAGCCACUACACACAUCUUCCACAAGACACACCCACCCUUGGCAUCCACUACACACACAGAUACACUGUAUCCGCUGCGGGCAAACUCUGGGUUGUGUCAAAUGUCUGAUGGCAUCUCUGCAAUGUUCUUGUAACUUAUUCUAAUAAAAUUCUGGUAUUUAUUUUUUGCUACCAGUUGCUGACACUACUCCAUUUGGUACCCAAGCUGAAGUCACAAUGAAAACCGACUUCUAUGGCACUAGAGAUGUUUGCAAGGAACUGCUGCCAUUAAUUAAGCCACACGGUGAGAUUACCAGAAUUGCUUAAUCACAUAGUAAGAUAUGUUGAAAAGAGAUUUAAAUGCCAACUACAGUUGCAAGAAAAGGUAUGUGAAUCCUUCGGAAUGAUAUGGAUUUCUGCACAAAUUGGUCAUAAAAUGUGAUCUGAUCAUCAUCUAAGUCACAACAAUAGACAAUCACAGUCUGCUUGAACUAAUAACACACAAAGAAUGAAAUGUUGCCAUGAUUUUAAUAAACACACCAUGUAAACAUUCACAUGACAGGCGCACAGUCGGAUUUGCCGGCAUAUGCGCUAACCUUACCCAAACCCCAAUUAAGACACGGACACAGGUUAUACUGUUGGAAAUAAUUUGUCCACAGCUUUAUUAAAUUAUUAAUAAAAUAAUUAAGGAACAAAUGGGGUCAUUGCCAACAAAUCUUAAUAAUGUUAACCUCCCCCAUAUACAUAACAUACCCCUAGCAAUGACCCCACAAUAAUAACAAUAGAUAACAAUCUAAAUAACAUGUUAACACAGAAACUGGCCGUCCAAUUUGACCACAUUUCCACCAGGUUAAAUUGUAGGGGUGUACCGAGACACCGCUACCCACCAUAUCGAUUGUAGGGGUGUACCAAGACACCGCUACCCACCAUAUCCAUUGUAGGGGUGUACCAAGACACCGCUACCCACCAGUUCCAGUGUAGGGUGUACCAAGACACCACCACACCCCCAGGUUCGGAGCCACCGACGGGCUCGAACCUACCAACCACGUGCAACACUGCCCAAUCCACACUAAACCUCAGGAUGCCCACUUUCUCCUCCAUCUACCCUCCGAUUUAACCAGGCCAUUCCCCGCCGCUGUGAAAAAACGGGAAAUCAACUAACCUAACCAAAUACAGGGAGGGUGGGAGGGACAACUGACAGGUAAGCUUAGGUUCAGUUAAAAUGGCCACUUCAUAUAAUGGCUGGUAUAAAUACUCCCCUUAUGGCUCCGCCCUACCCAGCAUGCUAGCUGUCACUAAAUUCCUGUGGCUGCUAUGCCUACCUCCUGGCUCUGUCAAGGCCUAUUCCUCUUAGCUGCGCUGAUCCAUGGGCUACAGUGCAGGUGGAAAAAGUAUGUGAACCCUUGGAUUUAAUAAUUGGUUGAACCUCCUUUGGCAGCUAUAACUUCAACCAAACAUUUCCUGUAGUUGCAGAUCAGACGUGCACAACGGUCAGGAGUAAUUCUUGACCAUUCCUCUUUACAGAACUGUUUCAGUUCAGCAAUAUUCUUGGGAUGUCUGGUGUGAAUCGCUUUCUUGAGGUCAUGCCACAGCAUCUCAAUCGGGUUGAGGUCAGGACUCUGACUGGGCCACUUCAGAAGGCGUAUUUUCUUCUGUUUAAGCCAUUCUGUUGUUGAUUUACUUCUAUGCUUUGGGUCAUUGUCCUGUUGCAACACCAAUCUUUUGUUGAGCUUUAGCUGGUAGACAGAUGGCCUUAAGUUCUCCUGCAAAAUGUCUUGAUAAACUUGGGAAUUAAUUUUUCCUUCGAUGAUAGCAAUCCGUCCAGGCCCUGACGCAGCAAAGCAGCCCCAAACCAUGAUGCCUCCACCACCAUACUUCACAGUUGAGAUGAGGUUUUGAUGUUGGUGUGCUGUGCCUUUUUUCCGCCACACAUAGUGUUGUGUGUUUCUUCCAAACAACUCAACUUUGGUUUCAUCUGUCCACAGAAUAUUUUGCCAGUACUGCUGUGGAACAUCCAGGUGCUCUUGUGCAAACUGUAAACGUGCAGCAAUGUUUUGUUUGGACAGCAGUGGCUUCCUCUGUGGUAUCCUCCCAUGAAAUCCAUUCUUGUUUAGUGUUUUACGUAUUGUAGAUUCGCUAACAGGGAUGUUAGCAUUUGCCAGUGACUUUUGUAAGUCUUUAGCUGACACUCUAGGAUUCUUCUUCACCUUAUUGAGCAGUCUGUGCUGUGCUCUUGCAGUCAUCUUUACAGGACGGCCACUCUUAGGGAGAGUAGCAGCAGUGCUGAACUUUCUCCAUUUAUAGACAAUUUGUCUUACCGUGGACUAAAGAACAGCAAGGCUUUUGGAGAUACUUUUAUAACCCUUUCCAGCUUUAUGCAAGUCAAAAAUUCUUAAUCGUUGGUCUUCUGAGAGCUCUUUUGUACGAGGCAUCAUUCACAUCAGGCAACGCUUCUUGUGAAAAGCAAACCCAGAACUGGUGUGUGUUUUUUAUAGGGCAGGGCAGCUGUAACCAACACCUCCAAUCUCAUCUCAUUGAUUGGACUCGAGUUGGCUGACAUCGCUGUGAUUGUCUAUUGUUGUGACUUAGAUGAUGAUCAGAUCACAUUUUAUGACCAAUUUGUGAAGAAAUCCAUAUCAUUCCAAAGGGUUCACAUACUUUUUCUUGCAACUGUAUGAUGUUGAUACAAAAGAAGGUAAAAAAAAAAAAAAAGUGAUUCCCAAAUGUGCCACAAAAUGGGGGGAUAAUAUUUUACUUCAAAUAGCAAUUUGAUUUCUUCUUAGAUCAAAAUUUGUUAUAUCAUAUAUUGGAGUACUACAGCCAUUUCUUUGGAUUUCUAAUAUUAUGUUUACUUAUUCCAUGUACUUAGCAAAUGUAUGUUUGAGAAGUGCAUAAAAUUAAAAUACAUUUAGAAAUCUAGAAAUACAUCUAUGUCCUGUAACUGGGCGCCUCCAUCUUAGCUCCCUGUCAGUCAUUGUUAUAAGCGUUGUCCUUUGCACCUGGCUGUCACCAUAGAGAAAGUAUACAGAGAGAGAAGAAAUAUACAAUUCUUGUGCUUCUCCUCAUUUGCAUUGGGUGCCCUGGCUGUGCCUUGACUGAAAUGGAUUGUGAAGCCAUUUACUUAAUCUUAGCUAUAAGCUGAAAAUAAAACAGAACAUCACAUAAAAACGUUACAGGAGUACUUUAUUGGAAAUGUAUUUAUAUAUUUUUAACUAUUUAGUAGAUAUUCCCUCUCCCUCACCUCCCCCGAGGAAAUAUGCAUGUAUUUGUCUCCAUAUGGUUUCUGUGGGGGGGGAUAUUAAAACCAGCUUUGCAAGCUCUCUGCCUUUUUCCUGGCACAGACUUUCUCUGGCUUUGCAGAGAUUGGUCAGAGCUUAUCUGAGGAGAGUUAGCUUAAGCAAAUCCCAUGCAGAGAUCAAACUGCUAUAGUGGUUAUGGUGUUUGGAAUGUUCCUUUAAUGAUUGGUCUGUGAUAAUCCUUUGGAAAUGUGAAUCUUGUUGGUUAAGCACAUGCUGAAAUUAAUUUCAGAGGUGAUGGUGCACAGAGAUCCCUGUGCCUCCUCUUACCGCUGAGAGUGGUGUAGAACUGCAUUAAUGUUACUAAAAUAAUAAAUGUUUCUGUUCCCUUAGGGAGAGUGGUCAAUGUGUCCAGCAUGAUUAGCUACGAUUCUUUGGGACAUUGCAGUCCAGAGUUACAGAAGGUCUUUCGCAGUGAGUCGAUCACAGAGGAGGAACUGGUCAAACUUAUGGAAAAGUUUGUAGAAGAUGCCAAGCAAGAUGUACAUCAAAAAGAAGGCUGGCCAAACACUGCUUACGGAACAUCUAAAAUAGGAGUGACCGUGCUCUCCAGGAUCCAAGCAAGAGAGUUAGACGCAACAAGGAAAGGGGAUGGAAUCCUACUUAAUGCCUGUUGUCCAGGGUGGGUGAGGACUGAUAUGGCGGGUCCAAAUGCUCCAAAGUCUCCAGAUGAAGGUGCCGAGACCCCAGUUUAUCUGGCUCUCCUGCCGCCUGAUGCAACGGCACCUCAUGGGGAGCUAGUUAGUGAAAAGAAAGUGGUGAAGUGGUAACAAUAUGUGUUGGCUUACUAGUGGGUCAAAUGAGCUUUGGAACUACAUCGUUUAUAUGCUAAUUCCCAUAAAAUUUUAUCAGCCACUUCGUGUGUUCAUGCCUGCCUUUAUUUGUUUAUGCGUGCUGCAGUCAAUUAUUGUUUGAUUGCCUUUUUGCUAGUUUUACAAAACAUCCUUGCCUCUACUCAUUGCUCUUUGAUUUGUAUAGUUUUUUGUCUUGUUUUUAAUUUUUUCAUAAAAAAUAAAGAAUACUUAAAACAGUGUUUUGAUUGUGAAUUAACAUUUUGUAUAUUGGGCAGCCCCUAAAAAUAAAAAAAAUUCAAGUCUAUUUAAAGGGACACUAUAGUCACAGAACAACCACAGCUUAAUUUGGGUGUAUAGGUCAUGGCCCUGCAGUGUCACUACUCAAUUUUCUGCCAUUUAGAAUUUAAAUCUCUUUGUUUAUGCAGCACUAGUCACACCUCCCUGCAUUUGUCUUGCACAGCCUUCCUAAACACUUCCUGUAAAGAGUUGUCUAAUGUUUACACUUCCUUUAUUGCAA
rnacentral:lncRNA from 1 species